UUUCCGUAGGUGAACCUGCGGAAGGAUCAUUAAAGUUAUAGUCCCCUGGCCCUCUGGGCUGGGGUCUUCUAUACCACCCUUUGCUUAUUACACCUUUGUUGCUUUGGCAGGCCUGCCCUCGGGCUGCUGGCUCCGGCCGGCGAGCGCCUGCCAGAGGACCUAAACUCUGUUUGUCUAUAAUGUCUGAGUACUAUAUAAUAGUUAAAACUUUCAACAACGGAUCUCUUGGUUCUG
rnacentral:misc_RNA from 1 species